ensembl:lncRNA
ACUAAGAGACAGUCACUGAUAAAGUUCUCUGUAGGGGAGAGUGUUUAGGAAUAUCAUUUCUUUGGUCCCUGCAGGAUUUCACAGAUCUUUCUCUGCAAGGAAUUUGUCUUCAGCAAUCUCUAGUCUAUUACAUGUGCCCAGAAGGCCCCAGAAAUUCGCGGUGCUGGUGGUAGGUCAUACAUUCUAGAGCAACUGAAUUCGUUUAAUGAGGAAACUAAAAUAUGUUUGCCUAAAAGCCUCUUCACAGAACCAUACUACUCGCAUAUUUAAAUAACUUCAUUAUCUACUGCUUUGAGUAAUACUUUAGAUGGAAAGUCACCUCAGAGAUACACACACUGCGUACACUGUGGCCGGUAACCACGUUUUCUCUUCUACCAGUGUCCCCACCUGCAUGAGGUAUGCUAAAUAUCCUUUAUUUUACCACAUGCAGUCAAACCCUGUACUUUGCUUCCCUCUACUGUGUGCUUAUCUGCCACAUGACAUGCAGGCAUCAGAUUCAUUAUAGAGUUAGUGGGUACUACAGGCCUUCUGUUAAAUAUUGAAACCCACACUUUCUCUACUACACUCUUUCUUCAUAGGAAAACUCCAUAACAAUCAAAAUGUCAUGGCCAUCAGGUCAUAGGUAGACAUUUCCUUGUCUUUGCUUAUGUUGAAUUUCUUGCCCAACACAACCUGCCUCCCAACUUAUUAAGGCUUAGCUAUUUUUCAAAGCUCAUGUCGAAUUUAGUCAAUGAAGUCUUUCCUAACAAGUGGAGACCACAAUAAUUUUUAGUUUCAUUGAUCAGUGGUACAGAUAAAUUUUGGUACUAUCGCCACUAGACUUGAGGUCAGAAAACUCAACAUUGAAAUUCAGGUUUGGCACUUAAUAAUUAUAUAAUCGUACUGAAUUGUUUUAACCUCUCUCUUCCUCAGUUUCCUCCCCUGUAAAGCAAGCACAGCAAUAUCUCCAGGAUCAUACUAUUGCUUUAACUGAGAAAUCUUCAAAUACCUGGCUGAGCUGGUGCUCUAUUGCUGUUACCCUUUUAAAAAUCUUAUUUAUUUUCUCAUAUAUCUAGAAGCUCCUUAAGGAAUCUAUUCCUUUGUAGCUUCAGCAUCAUAUAUCAUAAAUACGAAUUACUAUUAAUAAAUGGUGUGAUAAAUAAUUAGAUUUUAAGCAUAGUUUUUGUAAUCUAGAUAGCAAAUGUAACAAAUAGCAUAGUAUAGUGCCUAUAUAGUAGAUAUAUAAUCUAGAUAGACCCUAUAGUAUAAAAUAUAGCAAAGUAAAUAUUCUAUAUGGAUUGCAAUGUGAUAGUAUAGUAAACAGCCCCACCCCUAAAUAAACUGCAAUAUUUUUCAAUAACAUCUAUGUCUAAUUCCAAGUUAAUUCACACAUUCCACCAAACAUUAAAUUACUUAAUGUGAUUUAAAUUCAAAAUGCCAUCACAUUUAAAUUAACAGUCAGAUAAUUUAUUUUUGCAAAAUAGAAAUUGCCCCUAGAUGCUGGAAUAUAUAGCCUUGAGCAGAGAGCCAACUAUUAGAGGUCAACUAUACUACUGAAGGCAUUUGAAAGAGAGACAUUUUUUUUUAACAUGAACUAUCAGAGAGUAACACUUAUUUUCUACAGGUACAUAAAUCUAAUAUCUCUUGUAUGUUUUAGCUCUUUUCCCAAUUUUCUAAACACCAUGCUAUGAAAAUAUCUACAGAUAAAAAUAUACAUUAGAACCAUAAUUUACUAAUAAGGCAAAACCUCUUUAUUUACCCCAGAAUUUCAAAUUUCAACUAAUAUACACUCAGGUUUGUGAAUAAACAAAUACUCAAAUUGUGAUUUUUUUUUCUACACCCAAUGUUAAAAAAAAUGUAGUACAUGUUAUAAGCAGAUUUCAUUUGUUCUAAUGUGCAUUUAUUCAUACCAGAGUUCAAAAUUGGCAAGUUUUCAACAAGCACAUGAUAUAAUUAGCUAUCUUGUUAGAAUUAAGAAGCAACAAGCACUCAAAAUUUGAUUAAACUUACUUGAAUUUUGGCUUAUUUGUAUAAAAUAAAAAUAUUUGGUAUUUGUUUCCUACAUUUUGGACAGAGCAAUGUUAGGCUUGGUUUUAUCACAUUGCUCUCCAAGAAGAAGCCAGAAAUAAAGAACAUCAACAAAUAAAAUUCAUAACUAGAUCCACUUGUGUUAAAUAAAGACUUGGUCUGGGAAAACUGACUACUAUGUAUUUUUUUCCAGAUUAGAGUUUGGUUUAACUACAGCACUAAAACUGUUCUUUCAUUUUUGAAAAUAAAAGGUGCUGUUUAGUGAACAGCCUCUUCCGAGUGUGUUCAAGUGUGUUUGAGAACACAUAAGUUCACUAAAAGAUCCAACAGAAAAGAUGGUUGAGCCUGAGGGUCAUGGUUUUCUACAUUUCUAUGGAAACCUAGUGGAAAUUGUCUUUUUAUGAGUAUUUAUUCACAUUUCAGUUGUUGUCUUUAAAUGAUCACUUUGUUGUCAAUCAAGCAUUAAGACAUGGAAAUAGCAAAAGAGUUGAGUUUGUAAACAAUCUAUUUUGAAAUUAAAUUAAGGGUGUCAAAAUGAUUCAGUCCAACUUUGUAAAAGCAAUCACCUACUUUGAAUGCUUCAAACACAGUGUUCACUCUGCAACUGAAAUUCCAUCCACCUUUGCAUGAUGAGAUUCAUGAAAAACAUGCUCUGAAAUGUAUCAUCUAGAUUUUGUAUGGUAGGUGGGGGAUUGAUUCCUCCUAUUCUCUUGUUUCUUCUGGGUUUGACUUCAGCUGUCUGAGAUUCCUAGACACUACAGUUACCACAGGUAAAACAAUGACACCUUUCCUGCUCAAACCUAAUGUAUAUCAUUUUUAAAACUCCAAUUUUGGGGUCAUCAGCUAUUGUCUUUCCCUGUGUAAAGUUCUGGUUUAGUUUUCAAAUGGUUACUUCCUGCAGAAUUCCAAGAGAGAAAGGAAGAAAGGGGGAUUGAUUGGAGAGCACUCACCCCAAAGAGGGAAACAUGACUUUCCCUUUAACUGAGAUCUUAAAUAUAUAUAUAUCCUUUCAUUCUUUCAAUGUCCUCACUUCCAACACUGCCUAAAUUCAUUGGGUUUGGAAUUAAAGUAAAAUAAUAGACAUAAAAACAAUGGAAAAGUUAUAUUUUAAUACAAUUAAGAUGAGUUUAAAGUCUUAUUUAAAAGUAUGUGCUCAGUUCCCAUUGUGGCUCAGUGGUUAACAAGUCCAACUAGGAACUAAGAGGUUGUAGGUUUGAUCCCUGGCCUCACUCAGUGAGUUAAGGAUCCGGCGUUGCCGUGAGUUGUAGUGUAGUUCACAGAAGUGGCUUGGAUCCCGCGUUGCUGUGGCUGUGGCAUAGGCCGGUGGCUACAGCUCUGAUUAGACCCUUAGCCUGGGAACCUCCAUAUGCCGUGGGAGCAGCCCUAGUAUAGGCAAAAAGACAAAAAAAAAAAAUAUAAGAAUAAAUAAGAAUAAUCAGGAAGUCUCAGGAUGGGGAAAACAAGUUUGUGGAAUAUUUAAAGAAUAAGCCAAUAGUAAUAAUUUCCAUAUUAGAUUAGAAAUGAAAAUAUUAUUCAAUCCUUUAUAAAUCUUCAUUAUGGAUCCAUAUCGUAUCAGAAAUACUAUAUGCUCCUAGUGAUAAAAAUGUGAUCACAGCAUAAUUUAUGCUUUCAAAAUCUUGUAAUCCAGAGUCAGAUACCAGGAUGUAAACAAAUCAGGCCAUCGACUUUAAUAGGUACCAGAGGAGAGGAAGAAAGAGAACUACGGAUGAAACACAAAAGAGAAACAAACAAACUCUACCUUGGGAGGUAAAGCUGGGGGAAACAAGAAUCAAUUCAAUUUGAAUCUAUGGUUACCAAUGACAGGGUUAUCACCUAUUUUUAUUUUUUUCUGACAGAUUUUUAUAAAUGGUAUUUAAUAUACCCACUUUAUAAAGGAGGAAAACUGACCCAGAAAAGUUAAGUAACUUGCCCAAGGCAGAGCAGCUAGUCAUUCAAAAAGUUAUCAAAUGCUGAUGCUCAACUCUUUAUAUAAGCUUUUUAACCAUCUGAAAUAAUCUUACAGGUGUUCAGAUUACAUUUUGAAAGUAUAAAGUUUAGGCUUUUAUAUUGUGCAUGGGUAAUAGCCUCUAUUUUUCAAGAAGAAAAUAAGUGAGCAUAUCAGUACUGAAAUUCUUUUAGUACAUCAAGAAUGCCUGAAUUUCUGCCCAUGUGCUAGUGUAUGAUACAUGUUCUUACAUGUAGAAUAAAUCUCAUUCUACCAAAUACAGGGAAGAUGGAUCAAAUUUUAAAAAAAUUGCUUCAGCUUUGUUCACACAUGGAAGUUCUCUUUCAGAAAAACCUAUCAAAUAUUCUAAGUACCAUCACUGAGGAGAGAAUUCAAACUCCAGAAAAGCAAUAGGCAUUUAGUGGUGCGAAUCAGUUAUUGCAAACCGUGGAGGGCUAAGUCCAUCCUAAAACGACAAGGAUCAGCCCCCAGCUGGGACUCCUUGCAGGGAAGGCCAGGCUUGGCCACUGUCAAGUAGGGUCCCAGGUGGUCCUGAAAGAUCAGCCCUAUCUGAGUGGGCCAGAGCAGGGGCAGGAGUCAAAUGAACCUGAGUGUAAGUCCUGUGACACAGGACAAUUUAAAUAACUUCUCUCUCAACUUCCUUUUGUUAAAUGGAAUGUCAAAUCACAAAAAUAUGGAAAAUGUAAGUAAUCAAAAUCUCAUGGUUUGUCAUACAGUUUGCUAUAUACACUUGUACAAACAUUCAAUAUACACAUAUAUCCAUAUAUCGUACAUAUACGAGAGGAAAUGCACAUGUGUGCAUGUGUAUACACACACAUGUACAGAUGUCUUGCGCUAUCCUUAGUUGGCAACUGUACACAGUAUGAAGAGUGUUUUAACAAACAGCACUAAAUUGCUGUACAUAGAUAAGAAUCUAGGGAUUACCAUCAGGAUUGUGGGGGUGAUGAAGGGAUAGCAAAUGAUGCAGAGAUGAGACUAAGGAUGGAUAGAUUCAAAACAGAGGUUCAUAAACCCUAAGUUUACAGCAUGACAGUAAACGUAGAUUUAAAGAAAAAGAUGUCCUGCAAGAAAUUUCUGAGGCCACAAAUGGCCAAAGGGUUUAUGUGUCUAAAAAAAUAAAUCAAGCAGAAUCUUCUCUCUUAGCCUCACUACUUCCAACUCUAUGACAGUUGUGGCACUGGGCCUGUUGAUUUUUCUGACUCUUUGUCACACCUUGCUUUCCUAAUCUUUCCCCAGAUUAUAUUCCAAAGAGUUCCUCUUCUCAGUUAUUAGUCCUUUAAGGUAAAGUCUCUGCAAGGCAAUUAUUAGUCAGAAAUCACAAAGAAGUAUGUUCUUUUACAGGAUGCAGUACAUUAUACUGUAUUUAAUGAAGAUCGCAUAAUGCCUCUGAAAAGUCUCUUAGAGUUUAACCUGUAAGUAUUUGUAAAAAGAUAAUAUUUAAAUAUGCAUUUUAUGCUUGAUAGAAUAUAAUUUCUCUCUUGAGGAAUUCAGAUGCAGACAUGGUAUAUAUUUAGUUCAUUUUAAACUGUAAGUUAAUUUCCUGAUAGACCUAGGAACUUGAAUAAUCUAUCCCAUAAAUAUAUGCAGUAUGAAAAGAUGUUUUAAAACAGGUAUCAUUUAAAUUCUAAUCGGCUUGUUAUGAAAUUUUCCUAAACUGUAUAUUAAACGGGGCAAAAAAAAAAAAUCUUUAUCAAAUGUCAUGACUAGUUUGUGGUAAGUGCCUUUCUAAUUUAAAGCCUGUUCUCCAAACAGGGGUGAGAAAAUUAAAUGAAUUUAUAAUGAGUUACAUAUUAUAAAGAUAUUCUAAAAAAUAUUUGGACUGAGAUACAUCUUGCUAAACCUCAGAGCAGUAUUUCGCACUAAGAUUCUUGUCUCAGUUUUCUCUUGCUUUUCAUAAUUCACACUAUUCUGCUUCCCCUCUAUCCCCUUGAAUCAUUACCUCUACCUCCUUCUCCUCAUCUUCCUUCACCUGGACUUUUAAUUUUGAAAGUCUCUAGGCUUCCAUUUUCUUGCUACCUCUCUGUUCUUGUUCAUGCUCUUCAAGGUGAUCUUAAGGAUUUUACCAAUGAGUUGAUGAACCUUAAUUUUUUGUUCCAACUUGUCCUUUUCCCCACAUUUUCACACUUGUAUCUCCAACCUGAUGCUGGACCUUUCUGCACUCCUAUUCACACAGCUAACCAAUCACCAAGCUCUUCUAAAUUUUGCAUCUAUAAUAAUUCUUUAAUAU